GAAAUGGGGAGCAAGCCCCUUCCUCCCCCAGAGAGCAGGGUGUCCGCGCCGCGCGGGGCGCCUGGCGCCGGUUCCCGUCCGGCUCCGCCUCCCAUUCUCGGGCGAGCCCGCUCUCUCCGGGCCCCAGUUUCUCCGGCUGUGCCUGGGGUAGAGGCUGCAGGCGGCGGCGCUGAGCGAGGAAGGAAGGUCAACUGGAUUCCCCUUCUCUGGCUCCUGCAACCGGAAUCCCCGCCCGAGGGAGGGCCGGAGACCCGGAGAAACAGAGACCGAGAGACGGACUCCGGGCCGCCCACGUCCAAGGGGAGAGCGGGUGUCGGGCCGCGCGCGGCACCUCCUCCACCGCCCGCUCCCACCGUCGGAGGCGGGGCGAGGCUCCCAGGCCAGCCGCCCUCAAUCUGCCUUUCCUGGGUCGGGGUUCGCGGGAAGCGAGGAGUGGGCCGGAGGGCCUGGGCGCCCCCGGGCUCCCCGCCCGCGCAGGGUCGCCUCGUCGCCAGCGGGCGCUGGAGGAAGGCGAGCGAGCGGGCGUCGCCCGGACCGGGAGGGGGCGCUCGAGAGAAGCAGUGAACGCCCAGCCCCGACCCCUGGAGCCUCCCGGCCGUCGGCCCGCCCACCCCAGCUGACGCCCUGUCUCAGGACCCCAAUCCACCCGGUCCCCGUUUCAGGCUCAGCGCAGCGGCAGUGCAGGUCAAGGAGGGCGGUUCGGGUCUGGGGGCAGGCCCGGGUCCCUCUCCGCUCCCCACUCUGGCCUCACCGGGAGGACAGAUUCCCCCAACCUCCAGGAUCUGUCCCCGCGCUUGUCCCGGCGCGGCGCUCAGCGUAGGCGGAGCACAUCACAGGUCUCAAGGGCUGAUGGCAACGCCGGCGGCUCUUGGGGUCCUAUAGACGCUGGGAAGGGCGCCGUGCACCUGUGCUCUGCACACCUACUCGCCCGUGCUUUCUGGGUGUGAUUCUCUUAUUAUGGCAUUUUAAAAACUCUGAAAUCUGAUUAUUUACAUUAGAGAGAAAUGUCCAGAAACUUUGUGCAGUCAACCAAUCUUUAGGGGCUGGGGAUUUAGUGUUGGAGCAAAGGUUGAAAAUCCCUGCCUCAGGGCCUUCGUUCUAGCGGGGUAGGGGUGGGAUGUUUUCUCCAGCCGGACCUCCCUCUUCCCUCGCUGUCAAUCCACCCCCCGGGCCCGUCCACUCCUCCCCUGGGGUCAUUUACUUAGGACCCUCCGCCCAGCAGCCCACCAAGGGCAGAGGGACUCCGUUCUGGACCUGCCUCUCACAGAGGAUCAGCACGCGAGGACAAAGUAUAGGACCAAGGAACACCAAAGCCCAGAGAGGGGCAGGGCUUCCCAACGGCACACAGCAAAGGCUGGGAGCGGCCGGGACACACAGCUCCUGCCUCCAGUUCUGUCCGUCUCCUGUGGAGAAGGGCGCAUGGUGGAGGGCAGAAGGGAGGAGGAAAAGCAGAAUCGGAGGCUGAAGGCAAAGAUCGGCCCCAAGACUGGACUCUGUGGGCUCAGAUACAGGCCUCCAGGCCUGUCCUUAAAGAUACGCCCCGUCCCCAGCCGCAGCUCCACCAUCAGAGCUUUAAGCCUCAAGGGCCUUGAGCACUUCCUGAGAGCCCUAUUAGGAGUGAGCGAACCCCAGGAGCCGUGAGGCCCUUGUCAGCUAACAUCUUGGUUGAAAGGCAGCACCUUGGGUGACAGCUAUCACCCUCUAACAAGUAGGGAGAGAAAAUUCUGCCCAAGUGGAAAGGAGGUGGGAUGGCCUUUGGGAGGAUGGGGUGGUGGGAGGGGCGCGUGCCCGCCCACGCUUCCCUGACACAAGGGUGCCUGGGUGUUGAGAGGGUGCGGUUGCAGCCACAGUGACCGCCCCAGCAUUGCCCCUGUCCUGGUCCGGGUACUGUCCAAUGAAGAAGUGUAUGUAUAUUGGGGGAGGGGUCCCUUCUCAGAACUUAGCUGAAUGGGGUACUUGCCUGCCUAAACACUGCCCCCCAGAGCUCCCCCUUGUCACCAGGAACCCAUCAUCAGGGACCAGUCCCUUAGCCGGGUACUCCCAGCCUUGCCUCAUAUCUGCCAACCUCUUUUCCCAUUCUCACCUCUUUUCUCACCCACAUCAUCAGGUCUCCCACGCUGCAGCCACCUUGCCCAGAUCAGGCCUCUGCUGAUCCUGAUGUGAUGCCGCCUCCCUGGUCCUCCUCCUUGGAAACUUGUGCAAAGAGCUAUGGCCAUUCCAUGGCUAGAAGAUGGAGGCACCAAGAUUUGGACGCAGUAUGCAUUUUGACACUGACACUUCUCUGUCUGGCCUGAUUCCCCUUUUUUUUUUUAAUUUAAAUUUUACUGAAGUAUAGUUGAUUUACAAUGUUGUGUUAAUUUCUUCUGUAUAGCAAAGUGACCCAGAUAUAUACAUAUAUAUAAAUUCUUUUUCAUAUUCUUUUCCAUCAUGGUCUGUCACAGAAUAUUGAAUAUAUAAUAGUUCCGUGUGCUAUACAGUAGGACCUUGUCGUUUAUCCAUCCUGUAUAUACUAGCUUGCCUCUGCUAAUCCCAAACUCUCAUUCCCUCCCUCCCCCCCUCCUUGGCAGCCACAAGUCUGUUCUCUAUAUCUGUGAGUCUAUUUUUG